AUUGAACGCUGGCGGCAGGCCUAAUACAUGCAAGUCGAACGGUAACAUAAGAAAAGCUUGCUUUUCUUGAUGACGAGUGGCGGACGGGUGAGUAAGAUUUGGGAAACUACCUGAUAGAGGGGGACAACAGUUGGAAACGACUGCUAAUACCGCAUACAGCCUCAGGGUGAAAGAAGCGAUUCGCUAUCAGAUGUGCCCAAACGGGAUUAGCUAGUAGGUGAGGUAAAGGCUCACCUAGGCGACGAUCUCUAGCUGGUCUGAGAGGAUGAUCAGCCACAUUGGGACUGAGACACGGCCCAGACUCCUACGGGAGGCAGCAGUAGGGAAUAUUGCACAAUGGAGGAAACUCUGACGCAGUGACGCCGCGUAUAGGAUGAAGGUUUUCGGAUUGUAAACUAUUGUCAUUAGGGAAGAUAAAAGACAGUACCUAAGGAGGAAGCUCCGGCUAACUACGUG
rnacentral:rRNA from 1 species